UACGUAGGGGGCAAGCGUUGUCCGGAAUCAUUGGGCGUAAAGAGCGUGUAGGCGGUCCGGUAAGUCGGCUGUGAAAGUCCAGGGCUCAACCUCGGGACGUCGGCGGAAACCAUUUGGCUAGAGUCCGGAAGAGGAGAGUGGAAUUCCCGGUGUAGCGGUGAAAUGCGCAGAUAUCGGGAAGAACACCCGUGGCGAAGGCGGCUCUCUGGGACGGUACUGACGCUGAGACGCGAAAGCGUGGGGAGCGAACAGG
rnacentral:rRNA from 1 species